rnacentral:lncRNA from 1 species
CAUCCUGAAGUUAAAGCACUUAGCCUACAAGUCUCACAAUGAGCAAGUGCGCUAUAAAUGGUGGCUAAUUUAUGAUUUUGUGCUAACAGCUACUUGAGGCUUUGUUUGGGUGGUAAAGUUUGGUCUGCGAGAUGAAGAUGAGGACCAGAGGGGUCAGCGACCUUCAAAUGUCUAUGCGAACGUUUAUAUUAUGGGUCCCCAGUUUUCAUGACGUUGUCAAAAGUAAUGAAUGCUUUUCUUGUACUUUAAAGAAGAGUCCCAUAUCACUGUUAUCUUUGUCAAGAAACUAGGUAAACCGCUCUGAAUGAUAUCCUUUUCUCAGGUCCCUCUCAAACUGCUCUCCCGUGUGCGCCCUCGGUCUCUGUUCUUCCCACUAUAAAGGCUGGUGUAGAGAGACAAACAUAGUUUUUGAUAAGCGAAUGAAUACAUUUCCUUAGCAUCUCAUCUCUUUGUUUCUAGAGAGACUUUGCUGGGCAGAGUACCAUCUCCAUCUCUAGGAGCUGGGAGCUCUUUUUUGUACAUUGUGCGCUAAUGUUAUCCCUAUGUAAGCCCCUCCAUUCCAGUAGAAAACUGGUCUUGUAAUUUUCCCAAAUUAAGCUUAACCCUAUUAUGUGAGUUUUCUUCUCUUUUAAUCUGUGUUUACGUUUCAUUGAACAGUCUUGUUGGAAAUACAGAAAUCUUAGUAAAAAAAGCUCAA